rnacentral:tRNA from 1 species
GGUGGCUCAGUGGUAGAGCACAUGCAUGCAUGAGGCCCUGGGUUCGAUUCCUCAGCACCA